rnacentral:rRNA from 1 species
GACGAACGCUGGCGGCGUGCCUAACACAUGCAAGUCGAACGGAGUUUAAUAACGGAAGCCUUCGGGCGGAAGAUAUUAAACUUAGUGGCGGACGGGUGAGUAACGCGUGAGCAACCUGCCUCUCAGAGGGGGAUAACGUUUGGAAACGAACGCUAAUACCGCAUAACAUAUCUUUACCGCAUGAUAUAAGCAGAAAAGGAGCAAUCCGCUGAUAGAUGAGCUUGCGUCUGAUUAGUUAGUUGGUAAGGUAACGGCCUACCAAGACGAUGAUCAGUAGCCGGACUGAGAGGUUGAACGGCCACAUUGGGACUGAGAUACGGCCCAG